rnacentral:rRNA from 1 species
GAGUUUGAUCAUGGCUCAGGACGAACGCUGGCGGCGUGCCUAACACAUGCAAGUCGAACGAAACUUUUUGCUUCGGUAGAAAGUUUAGUGGCGGACGGGUGAGUAACGCGUGAGGAACCUGCCUUUCAGAGGGGGAUAAUGUCUGGAAACGGACACUAAUACCGCAUGACAUUUUCUGUUCACAUGGACAGAAAAUCAAAGGAGCAAUCUGCUGAAAGAUGGACUCGCGUCCGAUUAGCUAGAUGGUGAGAUAAUAGCCCACCAUGGCGACGAUCGGUAGCCGGACUGAGAGGUUGAACGGCCACAUUGGGACUGAGACACGGCCCAGACUCCUACGGGAGGCAGCAGUGGGGGAUAUUGCACAAUGGAGGAAACUCUGAUGCAGCAACGCCGCGUGAAGGAAGACGGUCUUCGGAUUGUAAACUUUUGUACCUAGGGACGAUAAUGACGGUACCUAGGCAGCAAGCUCCGGCUAACUACGUGCCAGCAGCCGCGGUAAUACGUAGGGAGCGAGCGUUGUCCGGAUUUACUGGGUGUAAAGGGUGCGUAGGCGGCCAAGCAAGUCAGCUGUGAAAACUAUGGGCUUAACCCAUAGCCUGCAAUUGAAACUGUUUGGCUUGAGUGAAGUAGAGGUAGGUGGAAUUCCCGGUGUAGCGGUGAAAUGCGUAGAGAUCGGGAGGAACACCAGUG